GUGCGCCUGGUGGGCGGGCACUUCGCCGACCGGGGCGGCGGGCGGCACAAGUGGGUCGCCGGGCUGGGGUACGGCAUCUCGGCCGUGUGC
rnacentral:tRNA from 1 species